AAGAAAAUUAAUUAAAUAAACACCUUGGUCUCCCCUCUGCAUUCAAACAGCCCUUCACAGCUGAUUCUGACAUGACAAGAGCGACAGGGAUGCACACAAACACAUGUGCGUGUACCCAAACACACCUGAAGAAUCCUGCUGGGGAGAAGUGGAAGCAAAUGGGUCUUCAUCCUCAUGCUCAGGCAACAUUUGUGAAGACACCUGUGUGACUGAGGAAGUGGAUGGCUCCUCAUCCUGAGGCUCUGAGAUCAUUUCUGAAGAGGCCUGUGUGGCUCAGGAGAGAGAUGUUUGUUUCUGUCGGCACGAUGCAUGAAGAAACUGGGUGGCUGUACCGACUCUGACAACAUAACAAAGAUUGGACAUUGGCUAGUAAUAUGCUCGGAAGCAGUGGAUGGUGUGCUCGCCUUCUGAGUCUGACCAGUAGGCCACUCCAGCGACGACCGCUCCGUCUGCCUCUCCUGCGACGACUGCAUUGUUAUGGGUCGGCCUCUGGGAUAAGAUCGCAUGUCCAGGGUGGAGGUCCGAACAAAGGAUCCGCUUCGGGAAAGACGUAUUCCUGGUUGUAAUGAUGGUAAGUUGACAUCACUUUUAUAUCCAAAGGUUCUUUCCGGCUGCAUGAAAUAACACUUGAGAUUUUCUGGGCUAACUGCAUUGUUUUCUAAGGACCUGAAGCGAGGCGACCAUCUCUGUCAGCGCCAUUUUUGUGCUGCUACAAUGUUGUGUUGCUACCAUGUUGUUGUUACGAUGUGUUGCUACCAUGCUGUGCUGUUGUCUUAGGUUUCUCUUUAUGUAGAGUUGUGUUGUCUUUCUUCUUGUGAUGUGUGUUUUAUCCUAUAUUUAUAUUAUAUUAAUUUUUCAUCCCAGGGCCCC